rnacentral:piRNA from 1 species
UGAGGACCAGUGUACAAAAUACAAGUGUGU